UACCCUAUGGCUCAGUUGGUUAGCGCGUGGAGCUGUUACUUGCUUACAUACUCCGAGGUCCCAGGUUCGAGCCCUGGUGGGGUAG